GAGAAGGUCCGCCAUGUUAGCUACCCCAAAACAUUCGCUUCUGGUGGUUUGAUUCCGUGUAGUCGUGAAGUGUUUUGAUAAAAAAUGCCGGCUUGCGUCGCUCACGGGUGUACUAAUCGUUCUGACUGUAGUCUUAAGUUUAAACAAAUCACAUUUCAUUCAUUUCCUAUCAAUCCAAGGCGAAGAGCUGUCUGGAAGUGAGCAUUACACUUGGUUUUCACUGUGUGGUUAUUCUGAAGUAACUGAAAAGUCCUGGCAAGAAAUAUCCUGGAAAUGAGGACUAAUGUUUUAAAAUGCAAUAAUUUAAUGUAAAACUAAUGUAACUACAUGUAGUUAAUUAAAUGUUCAGUAAAAUGUGUGGAACACCUGU